GUGUAAACCAUCGAGAGGAUAGCAUCCCGCACGAGGCGUUUUCCCUUGGGGCUGUUAGUGAGGUCGCCAUGCCAACGGACAGCUCACGUGACAUUCUGUUUUCUUUCGGCCGUCUGUGACGCAACAGGCUGUACUAAAGGUUCACAAUCUGGCAUUAAAUUCGAAACCGCAGCUUAAAAACCCAAGGGGAUUUUUGCGCCGUUGUCUGCACUCAGUUUCGUUGUAAAUCGUGAUCAUUCAUUUCAUCCAAUGGCAGUAAUUCAAAACAGAUUGCUUCAUAAAAUACAUUUUAUCAUGCAAUCCAUUUCUUUUGGUUAUGAGUUUGGUAUAUGAAAGAAAAUAGCUGUUCGGAAGAAGAAUAGUAACGCGCCCAUCAUCAGGAGAAAUUACUGUAAC